GACGAACGCUGGCGGCGUGCCUAAUACAUGCAAGUCGAACGCUGAAGGAGGAGCUUGCUUCUCUGGAUGAGUUGCAAACGGGUGAGUAACGCGUAGGUAACCUGCCUGGUAGCGGGGGAUAACUAUUGGAAACGAUAGCUAAUACCGCAUAAUAGUAGAUGUUGCAUGACAUUUGCUUAAAAGGUGCAAUUGCAUCACUACCAGAUGGACCUGCGUUGUAUUAGCUAGUUGGUGGGGUAACGGCUCACCAAGGCGACGAUACAUAGCCGACCUGAGAGGGUGAUCGGCCACACUGGGACUGAGACACGGCCCAGACUCCUACGGGAGGCAGCAGUAGGGAAUCUUCGGCAAUGGACGGAAGUCUGACCGAGCAACGCCGCGUGAGUGAAGAAGGUUUUCGGAUCGUAAAGCUCUGUUGUAAGAGAAGAACGUGUGUGAGAGUGGAAAGUUCACACUGUGACGGUAGCUUACCAGAAAGGGACGGCUAACUACGUG
rnacentral:rRNA from 1 species